rnacentral:misc_RNA from 1 species
GAAGAAAAUGCCGGCGCUGAUAUUGGUCUGGAAGUGUUAAGAUGCCAAUGAGUAUGCGAAUAUCGUCAGAGGAAGAAUUUGUAGCAAGAAAAUUGGUAGAAGAUGAAUUAGAGGAUUGAUAUGGAAAUUUCUGAAAAGCACAUCUACCAAACUUCAAUAAGCUAUCAAAUCGAACUUCAUUGAUAGAAGCCAACACACAAAGAAAGAAGAUGAAGAUCAAAGAGGAGAAUAUGAAUCGUUGCCUGUCCGGCCUCGUACUUUUCAUGGUCAUUGGAUUCUUAGGUGAUCGGAGAAUGGUAUGACCGAAGGCUAGCAUGUGCAUGUGGAGAGGGUUUCUGAAUCUAAAGUUGAUAUAAAUAAUUUCAAAACUUUCUUAGAUACAAAGCAUAAGUUGGCGAUUUCGUGCUAUUCAGACUAUCACCACUUGGACUUUUAUUCCUCUAAGGAAGGUAUUGGGGAAAAAUAACGUGGGAAGAAUGGAUAUAUAACCAUUAUGUCCUUGACAAGGAGGAGAUAAUUCGAUGUAUAUUAAGGAGUUUUUAGUCUUUUUCACAGAUUGCCCUCUUAUUUUCCUUUAAUUAGGGCGUGUAUUUGAAGUUUGUAUUUGAAUUUCAAGACUAAUAAAGUGCAUGUAAGGAGGCUAGUGAAGAAUUGUGGGAUUGUGCCUAAAGUUGAAUUCAUAUUGGUCAACUUUUCGUAAUUAGGCAUCUUUCCA